rnacentral:tRNA from 1 species
AUUUAUUUAGUAUAACAAGUACAUUUGAUUUCCAAUCAAAAAGUCUAACUUCUAUAGAAUAAAUA